GGACAUAUGAAGACAUGGACAUAUGAAGACAUGGACAUAUGAGGACAUGGACAUAUGAAGACAUGGACAUAUGAAGACAUGGACAUAUAUGAGGACAUGGACAUAUGAGGAUAUGGACAUAUGAGGACAUGACAUAUGAGGACAUGGACAUAUGAGGACAUGGACAUAUGAAGACAUGGACAUAUGAGGACAUUGACAUAUGAAGACAUGGACAUAUGAAGACAUGGACAUAUGAGGACAUGGACAUAUGAAGAAACGGAGUUAUGAGGACAUGGACAUAUGAGGACAUGGACAUAUGAGGACAUUGACAUAUGAGGACAUGGACAUAUGAAGACAUGGACAUAUGAGGACAUGGACAUAUGAAGAAACGGACAUAUGAGGACAUGGACAUAUGAGGUCCUGGACAUAUGAGGACAUGGACAUAUGAGGACAUGGACAUAUGAGGACAUGGACAUAUGAAGACAUGGACAUAUGAGGACAUGGACAUAUGAAGACAUGGACAUAUGAGGACAUGGACAUAUGAGGACAUUGACAUAUGAAGACAUGGACAUAUGAAGACAUGGACAUAUGAGGACAUGGACAUAUGAGGAAAUGGACAAUGCCAACGACAUAAAAUUGGGAAACAAUUUUACGGUCCCUACACAGGCUCAGAAGGAUCGUGUGAUGAGGGACAUUUCCUGGCGACAGUAGUCCUUGCAGGGCUUCUGCCGUUAAGUCAUGAUGUCCAGCUUGUGCAGUACAAUUAAUAACUGUGGCUAUAAACGCUACAAAAUCCACCUUCUUCACAAUAAGUGUAUCCAGAUCACCUGAUUGACGUGACACAUUUGAAAUUGGUUGAGGUCCAUCCACCACCAUAUCUUCUUCAGACCUGUGACCUCUUACCCCUUCAACGCUCUUCACCACCUCCACAUAGCAGAUUUGAUGUACAGUCCUGAUCCUUGACACCUCAACCUCUUUCACCCUAACAGGGCACUCUGGGAAUUUGGGAAUAUGAUCCCCACCACAGUUGCAACAUUUUACAUUCCAUAACAUAUUCCUUCCAUCUGCAAACACUUGACACAUGGCCAAACUUUUUACACUUCUGGCAUUGCAUGGGGUUUUGCACGAACGUUCUUACAGCGAAUCUUAUAUAUCCCAACUUUACAUAGGGUGGUAAAUACUCAGCAAACAUCAAUAAUACAGAUAAACGUUGCUUUUAUUCCCAUUCUCCAUACGGGUCAAGCCACAUGCAUGAACUGCUCCUGGAAGGUUUUGCCUAAGAUAUUGAUUGUCAAUGUCCAAUGGGAUGCCAAAGAUAACACCUUGCUCCAAAAAUCAAAGCUGUCCACUUCAUGCGUUGAUAGAAUUAGCGAACCACAAUGCAUCUUCCUUUUUAUCUUUACAUACACACGAUAUCAACACCAUACCACUCCUGGUUACUUUGACUGCAUCCACUUUUCCCAACAUUUUCUUCACCAUCCUCGUGACUUCAAAAUGGUUUCCCAAAUUAACAUCCUUAAUCAAAAACACAUACUCCAACAAGCAACGAUUCAUCAGACUCAUUUUUCCGCAACAAUUUUUUGCCCUUUUUGUUCCAUUCUUGGACUUCACUGUUGUCCACUCAUCUUUUUCACUCUCCUCCAUUUCUUCAAGAGACAUGCCCUCUUAAAGGGAUAGCUCACCAAAAUGCUAAUGGCAGCCAUCUUAGAUUUGACGGUGAAAAUAACACAGUCAAAACUGGCAGAUACAUAAUAUAACAGCAUGAAAAUGAAAAUACACAUAAAGGUAUAACCUUGCAAGUUUAAAAAAAAACUUUAAACCAGACAAUUAUAUGUCUAUAUGCCUAUCACCUCACACUUGUGGCAUCGUCACAGAGACAUGAUCUGAUUUCCCGACGGGGAGACAAGGGAGGGCCUUGUAUGUUUGCUUGUGGGUAGAGUAACAGUGGUCUAGGACUUUAUCCCCCCGCCCCCACGGUACAGUCAGCACACCAUUUGCUGUUGAUGAAGAGGCAAUACACCUCCCCCUCUCGAUUUCCCUCAAUUCAAUGUCCUGUCUGUUCAGUGAAUAGAGAUUCCAUCGAGUUGGAUAACCAUGGGGGGUAUCAUGUCCGAAAGCCAUGUUUCAGAAAAGCAGAGAAUAUUGCAGUUACCAAAGACCCGUUAGUAGCAAAUCCGAGAUCUGAGGUCAUCCAUCUUAUUUUCACGUGACUGGCCAAUAGAAUGGAGGGAAGAGGUGGCUGGUUUUCCAUUUGCCUGAAUCUCACCAGGACUCCCCCUCUCCGGCGUUUCCUCUUGGGUAGCCUGAAAACUGGGUCAGAAUUACACAAAGAAGUGGAGGUUGUAGCCAGAUUUGAGGUGUGAAGGUGUGGGAAACAUGGUUUCCGGGUGGGGAGGG
rnacentral:lncRNA from 1 species